GGAAUUUUAAUCUGGGAACAUAUAACUUCAUGAUUACCCACAACUGCAUGACAACGCCGGCUACAACAUCAGCAGCAGCAUCCCGCAUCCAGCAUUCGUGCCCCGAAAAGUCACGAAAUCUGUGCAAGAAACCGGGGGAAAAAAAAGGAAAAAAGCGCCCAAAAAAAUCCGAAAAGAAAUGAGAAAAAAGUGAUUGAUGGAAAUUGCUCAAAUUGUCAUGUUUAUGAACGUCCGCAGGAUACGAAGCCGACAGAGCGGAUUGUGGCUAAAAUGUGCACGCAAUGCGACAGCAAUUUGCAAUCAACCAAGUGCAGGUUGACUACAUACUGCAAGGCAGGCAGAACGAACUACAAAUGCUCUACAAAUAUGAGAGCUGGAUCGAGCGGGGCGCCGGACGCCCUUUCAAUGGCUGCAUUCUCAAUGAAAUUUGAUGAGCUCUUUGGUAACCGAAUACCGCAAAAACGGACACAAAACUCAAGAACAAAGACCAAAAAAUACCGAGAAGUGCGCAGCUCUUGGCUGCCUUCAGUUGGCAAACAUAGCGACAGGAGUUGAGACUCCAAAAAAAAACUAUAUUUAUAAAACAGUUGCCACAUAAGGAUGUGGCUGAGCGGCACGUCAUGUGGCGCGACUGCCGCUGCUGCCGUUGCUGCCGGUGCUGCUGUUGCAAGGUGUUGGCUUAAAGAACGAAAGCAACUAACCACAAUCUGAGCCGCCACCGAAUGCAUUUGUCGCAACGCAUCAGCCCGUUGCUGUUGCGAAUUUUAAACGCUUCUGACGCUUUACAAUUGGACGCACGCGGCACCAACGUGUGGCAAGUGGUGCCAGUGUGGCAACUGUGGUAAGUAUUCAAAUGCAUUUCACUCCAUUUCAUUUCCAACCCAUACACAAUCACUUUAAUUAAACGAAACUCAUGUUU